ACCUGCUUGCAUCCAUCUUCUCUCCUUUUAAGUCAAAGAGCUGAAGUUACAUUGUCCAACCAUGUCCUAAAGUGCACAAAUUAACAAAAAAAAUUGUAGUAUGAUAACUAGUAUAUUUUGUACCGUGCUAGGCUAAUUGUUGUUUUAAUUUGACUGGUUUUAUUCUACUUAACCCUAAAAGUUUUAUUAAACAAGUUCUCAUUGUCCAACCAUGUCCUAAUCACUGGCUUCUUCAUUGUUAUCUAAGCUAGUAAUAAACCUGCUUGCAUCCAUCUUCUCUCAUUUUAGUCAAAGNNNNNNNNNNNNNNNNNNNNUUCUACUUAACCCUAAAAGUUUUAUUAAACAAGUUCUCAUUGUCCAACCAUGUCCUAAUCACUGGCUUCUUCAUUGUUAUCUAAGCUAGUAAUAAACCUGCUUGCAUCCAUCUUCUCUCAUUUUAGUCAAAGAGCUGAAGUUACAUUCACAUUAAGUUAUAUAUGCAUUAAUCAGUAACUGCCAACUAGUCAAAUCAUUGUAUUCGGUAUUUUAUUAGAUGAACUACAGAUAGCUUUAUUUGACCACAAACUACCCAUUUAAAUGUUCAAGGUUCAACAAGCACUGGAUGAUUGCAUAACCAUUCUGACAAACCAUC
rnacentral:lncRNA from 1 species